UGAGUGUUUAGCAAACGCAAGUGACAAGAAUCAGAUGUUCAAAAGCUUCCAGGGUCGCGUUUGCAGCGUCACUUUUUUUCUGAGCGGGAGACUUCUCCAGAAGACCCUUCCCCACACUUGCUUCCAAGCUCCUGCUUUCCUCAGCCCCUUUCCUGCCUGUCCUGUUCCAGAGUUCCUCCACAACAGAGCUGCAGCCUUCUGGAGGCUCAACCAUGCUCCUGGCGCUCCUCCCAGUGUUGGGGAUACACUUUCUCCUGAGAGAAGCCCAAGCUCAGUCAGUGACUCAGCCUGAUGCUCUUGUCACUGUCUCUGAAGAAGCCUCUCUGCAGCUGAGAUGCAAGUAUUCCUCCCCUGGGGCAUCUUACCUGUUCUGGUAUGUGCAGUACCCACGACAAGGGCUGCAGCUGCUCCUCAAGUACUAUUCAGGAGAAUCAGUGGUUCAAGGAGUGAAUGGCUUCAAGGCUACGUUCAACAAGAGUGACUCUUCCUUCCACCUGCAGAAAGCCUCUGCUCACUGGCGCGACUCGGCUGUGUACUUCUGUGCUCUGAGCGCACAGUGUGUGGGGCUGCAGGGGGAGCGGAACACAAACACCCACUCAGCGGGUGCUCAGAUUCACGAUGGCUCCUUGUGGUCUCCGAAGCAUCUCUUUUACAUUGACGAGGAGAAAGGGGAAGUUGUGCAGUCCUAGCUGCCUUUGCACAGCUCAUUUCCAGCUGAAAUACCCACUGUCUGACUUCCUCUUAGAAGGUCUUUGCAUAUUUUCAAAAUUAGACAAUGCUCAAUCAUAAUUCUUUAGGAUGGAGGAGACUUUCAUUUUUCUUUGAGAACCAUUUCCUGAGUGGGCAUUGCUCGGACAGUGACUACACGAAGCACCUGAUUGUGUCUGUGAGGAAAGACCAGAAACUUUUAUUUGUCAUUUUAUAUUUCAUCUACACAGAAAGUGAAAGGUGUGCUUUUCAGCUUUUACCUUCACUGCUGCCUUUCAUGCUGAUUUUCCUAUAAAUUCUUCUUUUGGUGCUAAUUACACUGAUCAGAAUUGGUCACAAUAUUCAAGUUCUUCCAUUUAGGAAAGAAUCUGAUACAUUGUUAGUUGAUAUAGAAGUUUACCAGAAACAGGAAAACAUACAGAUCUGUCAUAAUUAUGUCAGUUCUAGCAACCAUUAAAAAUAAAAUAGGAGAAUAGGAAAUUCGAGCUCACUGGUAUUUUUUUUUCAAAAGAAUGCUUCAUAAUUAUAAAUGUACUACCCUAUUUUUGUUGCCAUCUUAAAUUUGGAAAA